UAGAUUUCAAGAUGCCGCCAACAAAGCGGCAACUUGAAAGACGAAAGGUAUAAGGGAUGUAGCUUCACAGGUCUGUUGCGUGUGCUUUUAUUUGAUGAAUUCUAACUGAAUUGGUAGCACAUGAACUCCAUAAUAACGAAUCGGUUACAACGUAAGCUAGGAUAUACCUUUACAC
rnacentral:sRNA from 1 species